rnacentral:rRNA from 1 species
ACGGAUAUCUCGGCUCUCGCAUCGAUGAAGAACGUAGCGAAAUGCGAUACCUGGUGUGAAUUGCAGAAUCCCGCGAACCAUCGAGUCUUUGAACGCAAGUUGCGCCCGAGGCCAUCUGGCCGAGGGCACGCCUGCCUGGGCGUCACGCCAAACACGCUCCCACC